UAGGGAAUCUUCGGCAAUGGACGGAAGUCUGACCGAGCAACGCCGCGUGAGUGAAGAAGGUUUUCGGAUCGUAAAGCUCUGUUGUAAGAGAAGAACGAGUGUGAGAGUGGAAAAUUCACACUGUGACGGUAUCUUACCAGAAAGGGACGGCUAACUACGUGCCAGCAGCCGCGGUAAUACGUAGGUCCCGAGCGUUAUCCGGAUUUAUUGGGCGUAAAGCGAGCGCAGGCGGUUAGAUAAGUCUGAAGUUAAAGGCUGUGGCUUAACCAUAGUACGCUUUGGAAACUGUUUAACUUGAGUGCAAGAGGGGAGAGUGGAAUUCCAUGUGUAGCGGUGAAAUGCGUAGAUAUAUGGAGGAACACCGGUGGCGAAAGCGGCUCUCUGGCUUGUAACUGACGCUGAGGCUCGAAAGCGUGGGGAGCAAACAGGAUUAGAUACCCUGGUAGUCCACGCCGUAAACGAUGAGUGCUAGGUGUUAGACCCUUUCCGGGGUUUAGUGCCGUAGCUAACGCAUUAAGCACUCCGCCUGGGGAGUACGACCGCAAGGUUG
rnacentral:rRNA from 1 species